rnacentral:rRNA from 1 species
UGGGGAAUUUUGGACAAUGGGGGAAACCCUGAUCCAGCCAUCCCGCGUGUGCGAUGAAGGCCUUCGGGUUGUAAAGCACUUUUGGCAGGAAAGAAACGUCGCGGGUUAAUACCCCGCGAAACUGACGGUACCUGCAGAAUAAGCACCGGCUAACUACGUGCCAGCAGCCGCGGUAAUACGUAGGGUGCAAGCGUUAAUCGGAAUUACUGGGCGUAAAGCGUGCGCAGGCGGUUCGGAAAGAAAGAUGUGAAAUCCCAGAGCUUAACUUUGGAACUGCAUUUUUAACUACCGGGCUAGAGUGUGUCAGAGGGAGGUGGAAUUCCGCGUGUAGCAGUGAAAUGCGUAGAUAUGCGGAGGAACACCGAUGGCGAAGGCAGCCUCCUGGGAUAACACUGACGCUCAUGCACGAAAGCGUGGGGGAGCAAAACAGGAUUAGAUACCCUGGUAGUCCACGCCCUAAACGAUGUCAACUAGCUGUUGGGGGCCUUCGGGCCUUGGUAGCGCAGCUAACGCGUGAAGUUGACCGCCUGGGGAGUACGGUCGCAAGAUUAAAACUUAAAGGAAUUGACGGGGGUGCUAGCUNUUCCU